rnacentral:rRNA from 1 species
AUGGAGCAGGGCACGACGACGGCGCCGACGCCGCUACCGGAACUCGCCAAGGAGACAGGCAAUUGCAUCGCCGUUGUCGCCGCUGGAGGCUGCGCCUUCUACUUCCUCAAGGGCCUGCGCAACUCCCCCACAGGUGGCCGCCUAGCCGGCGCCGCCCAGGCGGUCCGCGCAAACGCGCCGCGAAUCGGCGGCUGGGGGGUCUGGCUCGGCGCCCAGGCAGCAAUUGACAGCGCCCUGGAGCGCGUGAACAAGGACGACCGCUUCAACACCAUGAUCUCAUAUGGCGCCGCCAGCGCCCUCGUCUCCGUGCUCCGGGGGCCACGCGCCGCCGCCUUCUCCGGGAUCAAGGGCGCCGUCUUCGGUGGGCUCGUAGAGAUCGCUAUACGCGGCCUUAAACGCUUCGAGGCCGACCUACCGGAACCGGAGAAGUGA